rnacentral:rRNA from 1 species
UCGAGAAUCCUCCACAAUGGACGAAAGUCUGAUGGAGCGACGCCGCGUGAGUGAUGAAGGCCCUACGGGUUGUAAAACUCUGUCAGGAGAGAAGAAUCGCCGGGGUGCCAAUACCACCCUGGUCUGACGUUAUCUCCAGAGGAAGCUCCGGCUAACUCCGUGCCAGCAGCCGCGGUAAUACGGGGGGAGCAAGCGUUGCCCGGAAUUAUUGGGCAGAAAGGGCGUGUAGGCGGGCUGGUGAGUCGAAUGUGAAAUCCCACGGCUCAACCGUGGGACUUCGUUCGAUACUGCCUGGCUUGAGUAUGUGAGCGGUGUGCGGAAUUCCUGGUGUAGCGGUGGAAUGCGUAGAUAUCAGGAAGAACACCGAUGGCGAAGGCAGCACACUGGCGCAAUACUGACGCUGAGGCGCGAAAGCGUGGGGAGCAAACAG